GCAGUAGUAGUUCAGUGGUAGAAUUCUUGCCUUCCAUGUUGGAGACCCAAGUUUAAUUCCUGGCUAGUGCA
rnacentral:tRNA from 1 species